UUGGGAAACUGAUGCUAAUACCCGAUAUGGCGAGAGCUAAAAGAUUAAUUGCCUGAAGAUGAGCUCGCGUCCGAUUAGCUAGUUGGAGUGGUAAUGGCACCCCAAGGCGACGAUCGGUAGCUGGUCUGAGAGGAUGAUCAGCCACACUGGGACUGAGACACGGCCCAGACUCCUACGGGAGGCAGCAGUGGGGAAUUUUCCGCAAUGGGCGAAAGCCUGACGGAGCAAUACCGCGUGCGGGAGGACGGCCUUUGGGUUGUAAACCGCUUUUCUCAGGGAAGAAGAUCUGACGGUACCUGAGGAAUCAGCAUCGGCUAACUCCGUGCCAGCAGCCGCGGUAAUACGGAGGAUGCAAGCGUUAUCCGGAAUUAUUGGGCGUAAAGCGUCCGCAGGUGGUUGGUCAAGUCUGCUGUCAAAGCGUGGAGCUUAACUCCAUAAGGGCGGUGGAAACUGAUUAACUAGAGGAUGGUAGGGGUCACGGGAAUUCCCAGUGUAGCGGUGAAAUGCGUAGAUAUUGGGAAGAACACCAGCGGCGAAAGCGCGUGACUGGGCCAUUACUGACACUCAUGGAC
rnacentral:rRNA from 1 species